CUGACUCAAAGGAGACGAGACAGGAAAUUGGACCGGCCCUGUUAAUUUCUCGGAUGAUGGAACUCUGAAGCCUGCCAGAAAUGGGAAGAAAAGAUGUUUCCGUCAGAAUUUUCAGCCAGAUUCACAGAGCUCCGUAAUAGUCACACCCUGCCUAGCCGAUAUUAAGAAGAA